AUCUCUGUAGAGUCUGCAUAUCAAUAAGCGGAGGAAAAGAAACUAACAAGGAUUCCCUUAGUAACGGCGAGUGAAGCGGGAAGAGCUCAAAUUUGAAAUCUUCAAGGUUCUACCUUGACGAAUUGUAGUUUAAAGAAGUGUUUUCUGUUAGAUGAGUAGCAAAAGUUCCUUGGAAUGGGACAUCAUAGAGGGUGAGAAUCCCGUAUUUGGUUAUUCAUUCUAGCUUUGUGAUACACUUUCAAAGAGUCGGAUUGUUUGGGAAUGCAGUCCAAAAUGGGUGGUAAAUUUCAUCUAAAGCUAAAUAUUGGCGAGAGACCGAUAGCGAACAAGUACCGUGAGGGAAAGAUGAAAAGAACUUUGAAAAGAGAGUUAAACAGUACGUGAAAUUGUCAAAAGGGAAGCGUUUGACACCAGUGUUGUUUUUCCGAAAAUCAAUUACGAAUGGCUUGAUUUUGUGUUGUAUUGACCUUAUCAGCUUUCUUCACUUUUUUCGAGUCUUUCCUAAUGCACUUUUCGGUUAACAAGUCAACAUCAAUUUCUUUUGUUGUAAAAGAGUAUUCGGAAGGUGGCUUUCUUUUCGGAGAAAGUGUUUAUAGCCCUAUACUUCUACAAUCGGAGAGAUUGAGGUCUGCAGCGUAGAUCCUUCGGGGUUAGAUACACUUGUGCUAAGUUGUAGCUUUUCAUAGACAACUUGUUGACUAUGUUUAGUCAUGCGGCUUACUCGCUUAUGCUAUUUUACCUACGCUUAGGAUGUUGACUGAUAUGUAGUCGUA
rnacentral:rRNA from 1 species